AGGGUGCAAGCGUUAUCCGGCUUUACUGGGUUUGAAGGGUGCGUAGGUGGGUUGGGAAGUCAGUGGUGAAAUACUUUCGCUUAACGAAGGAACUGCCAUUGAUACUAUCAAUCUUGAAUGUAGUGGAGGUAGGCGGAAUGCGUCAUGUAGCGGUGAAAUGCUUAGAUAUGACACAGAACACCGAUUGCGAAGGCAGCUCACUAAACUGUAACUGACGCUGAGGCACGAAAGCGUGGGGAGCAAACAGG
rnacentral:rRNA from 1 species